rnacentral:tRNA from 1 species
CUGUCGGUGGUCCGCCGGCCGGGACCGCGGAUCGCGACCGUGCUCGGCGGCGGCUGGAUCGCCUCCGGCCCGGCCGG